UACACACCGCCCGUCACACCAUGGGAGUGGGUUGCACCAGAAGUAGCUAGUCUAAACUUCGGGAGGACGGUUACCACGGUGUGAUUCAUGACUGGGGUG
rnacentral:rRNA from 1 species